AAAACUUCCACUUGUUCCAGAUUUUCAUCAACACUUCAUGUUGUCAAACUUGACUUUCAUCCAUUUUCGUGAGUGUGUGUGAUAUAAAGGAAACCCCAAGUAUGAAAAACAGCCACUUUCCCAUGAAGGCUAAAGCAGGCCUUGGCUUGGAGCAGCCCAUUACUGGCUCAGUGAACUGGGAAAAUGCAGUCACCUCUUCACGCAGUCAGAUGAUGACCCCUACGCCAUGGGGCUGGUGUGGAAUAUUACAUGCUACAAGCUAUUAUGUACAAAGAUCAACUCCAUCAAUCAGUGCCCAUAGGAGUUGCAAGAAUAUCAAGUACUUCAAAGUUUGAAUUGAAAUUGAAAGUGCUCAUCCUUACCUCAAGGCCUAAGAUAUCCAGUGUCUCCUACAUUCUUUUAUUUUUGUCUUGGGUAACCAGGUCCUCUAAGAGCAACAGAAACCUACCUCUGUUCUGGCUUC